rnacentral:rRNA from 1 species
CCUACGGGAGGCAGCAGUGAGGAAUAUUGGUCAAUGGGCGGGAGCCUGAACCAGCCAAGUCGCGUGAGGGAAGACGGUCCUAUGGAUUGUAAACCUCUUUAGGCGGGGAGCAAUGCCGGGCACGCGUGCCCGGAGGGAGAGUACCCGCAGAAUAAGCAUCGGCUAACUCCGUGCCAGCAGCCGCGGUCAUACGGAGGAUGCGAGCGUUAUCCGGAUUUAUGGGGUUUAAAGGGUGCGUAGGCGGAUUUUUAAGUCAGCGGUAAAAUGUCCGGGCUCAAACCGGGCCGGCCGUUGAAACUGGGGAUCUUGAGUGGGCGAGAAGUAUGCGGAAUGCGGGGUGUAGCGGUGAAAUGCAUAGAUAUCACGCAGAACUCCGAUUGCGAAGGCAGCAUACCGGCGCCCGACUGACGCUGAGGCACGAAAGCGUGGGGAUCGAACAGGAUUAGAUACCCGGGUAGUC